GAUUGAACUGGUGCUUCCAUGGAGAUAAGCUGGAUCAUUAACCCACUGUGCCGCAGCAGGAACUCCUAUUAUUUUUGGAGUCCCUCAAAUCAACAAAACCACAUCAAUUUACAAGUCUUAAACUCAGUAUUUAAGUAAUUCAUCAAAACACAUUUUUGUGACCUAGUUGAAGCUUUAUUGGUAAUGAUUUAGUGUUUAGAUUUCUAAGUUUUCUAAAACGUCUCAUUAUGGUAGUUAUAUAUGGUUUUGCAACCAGCAGAACCAUUAUUAAGAUUGCAAUGAUAUACACUACUUAACAGUCUUUUAAAAACCCUCUAGUUAGUGUGUAAAAUGCUCUACUUAACUAUACAUUAGAUAGUACUGCCUUUUUUUGGCUGACUUGCAUAUGGAGUUCCUGGGCCAGGGGUCAGAUCUGAGCCACAGUUGCAGCCUGUGCCACAGCUUAGGCUGAUCACAACACCAGAUCCUUAACCUACUGAACGAAACCAGGGAAGGAACCCACAUCCUCAUGGAUACUAUUUGGGUUCUUAAUCUGCUGAGCCACAAUGGGAACUCCUCUAGUACUGCCUUUUGUGUGUGUGUGUGUGUGUGUGUGUGUGUGUGUGUGUGUGUUUGCUUUUUUAGAACUGCACUCACGGCAUAUGGAAGUUCCCAGGCUAGAGGUUAGUCACAUCAUGGAGCUGUAGCUGCUGGCCUAUGGCACAGCCAUAGAAACACAGGAUCUGAGCUGCAUCUGUGACCCACACCACAGCUCACGGCAACGCCGGAUCCAUAACCCAUGAGCCAGGCCAGGGGUCAAACCCGCAUCCUCAUGGAUGCUAGUCAGUCAUUAACCACUAAGCCAUGACGGGAACUCCUCUAUUUGUUAUUUAUAACAAUCUAUAAUGUUCUUCUUUUUCUGAAGUUAUAGAGUCAGAUUGGCUCUUGGCUUUUAACAGCUCUCUGGGGAUUUGUUUUUCAAGUUUGCCAAGAAAAUAGCAUUCAUCUACUUUUUAGGUCCAAAAUGUUGUUGGUGUGUCCUUAACUGUUUUUCCCUGACCUUGUGAGUUAAGUUUUCAAAUAAUCCCUUAAUUUUGGUUGUACUGGGUUUUGGAAGGGAACAAAAAAAAAUUUUUUUUUUUUUGGUCUUUUUGUCUUUUUAGGGCUGUACCCACAGCAUAUGGAGGUUCCCUGGCUAGGGGUUGAAUCGGAGCUGUAGCCGCCAGCCCACGCCACAGCCACAGCCACAGCAACUCCUAAUCUGAGCUAUGUCUGUGACCUACACCACAACCCACAGCAAUGCUGGGUCCUUAACCGACUGAAUGAGGCCAGGAAUCAAACCUGCAUCUUCAUGGAUACUACUAGCCAAAUUUCGUUUCCACUGAGCUGUGAUGGGAACUCAUCUUUUUUUUUUUUGGUGGGGGAGGUGGGAAGGGAACAAAAUUUGAUGUGUUGUUAAAGAAAGUAUCAUCCUACUUGUUCAAGAAAAAACACGGCAUUUGUUACAAACAGCAAGGUAGGAUUUCCCGAUGUUGUACAUUGGGUGAGGAUCCAGCAUUUUCUCUGUGUCAGUGUCAGUUCGAUCCCUGGCCUGGUGCACUGUGUGAAUCCCUGGCAUUGCUGCAGCUGUGUGGCAAAGGUCACAACUCUGGCUCAGAUUUGCUCCCUGGCUUAGGGAUUUCCGUAUGCUGUGGGUGCAGCCAAAAGAGGAAAAACAAAACACAAACAUUCUUUAUCAUUGCUAAUCAUUUUCUUUGAAUUCUGGGCACUGACAGUGUGCUGAGUAUUUUAUUUUUUUGUCUUUUUGCCUUUUAUAGGGCCGCUUCCACGGCAUAUGGAGGUUCCCAGGCUAGGGGUCUAAUCAGAGCUGGAGCCACCGGCCUAAGCCACAGCCAUAGCAACACCAGAUCCAAGCUGUGUGUGUGACCUACACCACAGCUCCCGGCAAUCCUUAACCCAUUGAGCGAGGCCAGGGAUCAAACCCACAACUUCAUGGUUCCUAGUUUGAUUCGUUAGCCACUGAACCAUGACGGGAACUCCUGUGCUGAGUACUUUAAACUUUUACACAGCUUCUAAACCACCAGUAUUCACAUUGCUAGCAAUUAUAAGCCAUCAGUGAGUUCUGUCAAAAUUAUCAGGUUUUUUAAGUCUUAGGAAAACAAAUUAUGUACUUUGAACUGAAUCUCAUACAGUGUUAAAGGCAUUACUACUUGUCAUAGUUCUGGUACAAUGUCAUACGUUUCUGUGAUUCACUAUUUAUGUCAUUGCUUCCUUGUUCUCUCUCAGAUCUAAGAGAUUUUUUUUUCUUUUUGGUCUUUUUAGGGCCGCACUUGCAGCAUAUGGAAAUUCCCAGGCUAGGGGUCAAAUCGCGGCUAUAGCUGCCAGCCUAUGCCACAGCCACAGCAAGGUGGGGUCUGAGCCUCAUCUGUGACCUACACCAUAGGUCACAGCAAUGCCAGAUCCCCAACCACUGAGCAAGGCCAAGAAUCGAACCCGAAUCCUUGUGGAUACUAGUUGGAUUUGUUUCCACUGCGCCACAAUGGGAACUCCCGAGAUUAAUGUUAAUAUUUAAAAGCAAUGUUAGAGAUGUAUCCAAACUUCCUUACUUCAUUCUGUUUAUUCUUCAUAUUCUAAGUUCUUGCAUUUAUAGAUAUCAGAACACUGCACAACUAUUAUUGCCACAAGAAUAACAGCACACUAACAAUAAAAACAGGAAAAGCCAAACAAAUAUACUAUUUAGAAGUUUUAGGGGUUCCCCAUUCCCCGUUGUGGCUCAGUGGGUUAAGAAUCCGACUAGUGGAGUUCCCAUCAUGGCUCAGCAGAAACAAAUCUGACUAGCAUCUGUGAGGACAUAGGUUCGAUCCCUGGCCUUGCUCAGUGGCUUAAAGAAUCUGGCGUUGCCUCGAGUUUCAGCUUGAAUCUGCUAUGACAUAGGCCGGCAGCUGCAGCUCCAAAUUCACCCUAGCCCGGGAACUUCCCUGUGCCGCGAGAGGGGCCCUAAAAAGACAAAAAAAAAAAAAAAGUUUUGGCAGUAUGGGGAUUUGACAAAGUGAUAAUUUUUGUAAAUGUCAGGAUGAAGAAUAUUCACCCCAGCCACAAAACUUGUCAUGAUGUGACUGAACUGGUAAGUACCACAAGUGUGUCUCCUGCAAUGACAGGAACUCAUCCACUGAUAGUCGUUAUGGUAGCCUAGACAUUGCUAUUGAGUAUAUUUUAGGAUUUAUAGGGGAGUUCCUGUUGUGGCUCAGCAGAAACAAAUCUGACUAGUAUCCAUGAGGAUUUAUAGUACUUAUUAAUUUUACUGUGUAUCAGCUGCUCUUUUAAACAAUCGGCAUGACUUACUAGUGCAUACUAGCUGAAAACCCGCGUGGAACAGAAUACCGUAGAGGGCUAUAUGAACAUGAGACUGAAUGUUUAAGUAUUGAGUAGGCUAGGUUUGGGCAUCAGGUGGGGCACAUUUAGAAAUUAUAGUAAUAAGGAGCCUUGGGAGGCAGGAUUCUUGCCUUGAGGAGUGAGAGCAAAGGGUGGUGGCCUGUCUUUUUCCUGCUUCUUUUCAGCUGAAUGAACAAAGGUCGAUAGUCUGAGUAAGAUGAAGUGGACUGGGUAUUGAUGGUUAUGUUGUAAUCUGCAGCAAGAUGUUAUUAAGUGCUGAGUGCAAAGGUGAGGUUUAUCAUUAUCCUUAAAGUUAUUUCAUACUUAGAAAACAUGUUAUUAGAGAAGAAGGAAGUUCUUUCACACAGAAUGUGGUGAGGGAGAAAGGGAGGAGGCCCAAACUGAGAAUCUAAUUUUCCUAUCCUGCCUUAAAAUAUAAAUUUUAUUUCAUCACUUGGUAUAUUCAUACAAUAGAAUAUCAUUUGAUAAGAAAAGUACUGAUACAUGUCACAACAUAGAUGAAUCUUGAAAAUAUACUAAGUAAAAGAAACCAGACACAAAAGGCUACAAAUGAUUUCAUUUCUAUGAAAUGUCCAGAAUAGGCAAAUCCAUGAAGAUAGAAAAUAGAUGAGUAGUUGCCAGAGGAUUGGAGGGUGUUGGGAGGAAGUGAUGGUGGAGGGAUUUUUUUGGGGGGAAACUCAUAGAUAAGGGAUUUCUUUUGGGAGUGAUGAAAAUCUUCAAAAAUUGGAGUUCCUGCUGUGGGACAGUGGGUUAAUGAUUCGGCUUGUCUCUGUGGAGGUGCCAGUUCAGUCUCAGGCCUGAUGCAGUGGGUUAAGGAUCUAGUGUUGCUGUAGCUGUGGUGUAGGUCACAGCUCUGGUUUGGAUUUGAUUUCUACCCUGGGAACUUCUAUUUCCGGGGGGUGGGUGGGGGGAGGGAAGGCAGCUAAAAAAAAAAUUGGCAAAAAGACACACACACAAAAAAACCGGAGUUCCCGUCGUGGCGCAGUGGUUAACGAAUCUGACUAGGAACCACGAGGUUGCGGAUUCGAUCCCUGCCCUUGCUCAGUGGGUUAAGGAUCCGGCGUUGCUGUGAGCUGUGGUGUAGGUCACAGAUGCGGCUCGGAUCCGCGUUGCUGUGGCUCUGGUGUAGGCCGUCGGCUCCAGCUUCUAUUGGACCCCUAGUCUGGGAACC
rnacentral:lncRNA from 1 species